rnacentral:rRNA from 1 species
UACGAAGGGAGCUAGCGUUGUUCGGAAUCACUGGGCGUAAAGCGCACGUAGGCGGCUUUGCAAGUCGGGUGUGAAAUCCCCAGGCUUAACCUGGGAACUGCAUUCGAGACUGCAUUGCUAGAGUAUGGGAGAGGGAAGUGGAAUUUCCGGUGUAGCGGUGAAAUGCGUAGAUAUCGGAAGGAACAUCAGUGGCGAAAGCGACUUCCUGGACCAAUACUGACGCUCAUGUGCGAAAGCGUGGGGAGCAAACAGG